rnacentral:rRNA from 1 species
GACGAACGCUGGCGGCGUGCUUAACACAUGCAAGUCGAACGAUGAACUUGGAGCUUGCUCUGGGGGAUUAGUGGCGAACGGGUGGGUAACACGUGAGUAACCUGCCCUGGACUCUGGGAUAACUUCGAGAAAUCGGAGCUAAUACCGGAUAGGACCUUGCACCGCAUGGUGUGGGGUGGAAAGUUUUUCGGUUUGGGAUGGACUCGCGGCCUAUCAGCUUGUUGGUGAGGUAAUGGCUCACCAAGGCGUCGACGGGUAGCCGGCCUGAGAGGGUGACCGGCCCCACUGGGACUGAGACACGGCCCAGACUCCUACGGGAGGCAGCAGUGGGGAAUAUUGCACAAUGGGCGCAAGCCUGAUGCAGCAACGCCGCGUGCGGGAUGACGGCCUUCGGGUUGUAAACCGCUUUUAGUAGGGAAGAAGCCUUCGGGUGACGGUACCUGCAGAAAAAGGACCGGCCAACUACGUGCCAGCCGCCGCCGUAACAC